rnacentral:rRNA from 1 species
CCUACGGGAGGCAGCAGUGAGGAAUAUUGGUCAAUGGCCGGGAGGCUGAACCAGCCAAGUCGCGUGAGGGAAGACGGCCCUACGGGUUGUAAACCUCUUUUGUCAGGGAGCAAGGUGCAGGUCGGGACCUGCUGUGAGAGUACCUGAAGAAAAAGCAUCGGCAAACUCCGUGCCAGCAGCCGCGGUAAUACGGAGGAUGCGAGCGUUAUCCGGAUUUAUUGGGUUUAAAGGGUGCGCAGGCGGAGGCACAAGUCAGCGGUAAAAUCGCGGGGCUCAACCCCGCUCCGCCGUUGAAACUGUGUCCCUUGAGUGCGCGAAGGGUAGGCGGAAUGCGUGGUGUAGCGGUGAAAUGCAUAGAUAUCACGCAGAACUCCGAUCGCGAAGGCAGGUCUCUGGGCCGUUACUGACGCUGAGGAGCGAAAGCGUGGGGAGCGAACAGGAUUAGAUACCCGAGUAGUC